CACGUAGGGGGCGAGCGUUGUCCGGAUUUAUUGGGCGUAAAGAGCUCGUAGGCGGUUCGAUAAGUCGGGUGUGAAAUCUCCACGCUCAACGUGGAGGGGCCGUUCGAUACUGUCGUGACUCGAGUCCGGUAGGGGAGUGUGGAAUUCCCGGUGUAGCGGUGAAAUGCGCAGAGAUCGGGAGGAACACCCGUAGCGAAGGCGGCACUCUGGGCCGGUACUGACGCUGAGGAGCGAAAGCGUGGGGAGCAAACAGG
rnacentral:rRNA from 1 species